UGGGGCGGAUCGAUGGGGCCCGGGGCUGUGUUUGCUCCUCCCGGCCCGCAGGGGGCCCCGGAGCCCGCCCCGCUCGGCGCCGCUGUCCGGGGCGGAGCCGGGGCCGGGAUCAUGCAGGCGUCCGUGGCCAAGGACUCCGUGCAGGCGGCGGCCCAGAAGUUCCUGAACUUUGUGAAUCGGGGCCCCUCCCCCUACCAUGUGGUUGCCGAGUGCCGGAGCCGCCUGCUGCAGGCGGGGUUCUGGGAGCUGAAGGAGGCUGAGCACUGGGACAUCCAGCCCGAGCACAAGUACUUUGUGACCCGGAACCACUCCACCCUGAUCGCCUUCGCCGUCGGGGGCCGGUACCAGCCUGGCAACGGCUUCAGUCUGAUCGGCGCCCACACGGACAGCCCCUGCCUCCGGGUGAAGCGUCGCUCCAAGAGAGGCCAAGUGGGCCUGGUGCAGGUGGGCGUGGAGACCUAUGGAGGAGGGAUUUGGAACACCUGGUUCGACCGGGACCUGACUGUGGCCGGGCGGGUGAUCGUAAAGGAGCUGGCUGCGGGGCGGCUGGAGCAGCGGCUGGUGUGGGUGGAGCGGCCCGUCCUGCGCAUCCCCAACCUGGCCAUCCACCUGCAGCGCAGUGUCAACGAGAGCUUUGGGCCCAACACGGAGCAGCACCUGGUGCCCAUCCUGGCCACUACCAUCCAGGAGGAGCUGGAGAAGGGGGCACCCAAGGCUGGGGCUCCCUGCACUGCUGAUGCCCAGACGGAGCGGCAUGCCCCCGUCCUGCUAUCCUUGCUCUGCUCCCAGCUGGGCGUGAAGCCGGAGCAGAUCGUGGAGAUGGAGCUGUGUCUGGUGGAUACGCAGCCAGCGACAUUAGGCGGCGCCUUCGAUGAGUUCAUCUUCGCCCCCCGCCUGGACAAUCUGCACAGCUGCUACUGCGCCCUGCAGGCCCUGAUCAGCUCCUGUGAGGCUCCCGGCUCCCUCUCCCGGGAGCCCAACGUCCGCCUGAUCGCGCUGUACGACAACGAGGAGGUGGGCUCGGAGAGCGCGCAGGGCGCCGAGUCCCUGCUGACGGAGCUGGUCCUGCGCCGCAUCUCGGCCACACCCCAGAACCUGACGGCCUUCGAGGAGGCCCUGGCCAAGUCCUACCUGAUCAGCGCCGACAUGGCCCACGCCGCCCACCCCAACUACCUGGACAAGUAUGAGGAGAAUCACCGGCCGGCCUUCCACAAGGGCCCCGUGAUCAAGGUGAACAGUAACCAGCGCUAUGCCUCCACGGCCGUCACCGAGGCAGUGAUCCGGGAGAUCGCGGGCCGCGUCGACGUCCCCCUGCAGCCCUCCAGGAGCUUUCAGAGAUAGUUGCUCACCGUUCCGAUUGCUUCGGCUAACUCCUGAAGUAGCCUCGGCUGAAUGUCACAGCCCCUGCCGGCCUGGAUAUGCCCGACUCCUCCAAAUCGUCACUAACCUGCUCGUUCCCUCUGCUGGCUUGGUCCAUCCCCCUUGUUGCUCACAGUGAUUGUGUGGAGUGUCUGGUCACCGUGAACCUUUCUAGUGACACCUGAAGCAAAAUAACUUGGUUAGAUGCCACGAAGAGUUCAUGGUGCGGAACGACGUGCCCUGCGGCACCACCAUUGGGCCCAUCCUGGCCUCCCGCCUGGGGCUGCGGGUCCUGGACAUCGGCUGCCCGCAGCUGGCCAUGCACUCGAUCCGCGAGAUGUGCUGC